GUAAUUUGUAGAGGAUGCUUCGGGUUCGGUUCCGGUCUAAGUUCCUUGGAACAGGACGUCAUAGAGGGUGAGAAUCCCGUAUGUGACCGGCCGCCACGCCCGUGUGAAGCUCCUUCGACGAGUCGAGUUGUUUGGGAAUGCAGCUCAAAAUGGGUGGUAAAUUUCAUCUAAAGCUAAAUAUUGGCCAGAGACCGAUAGCGCACAAGUAGAGUGAUCGAAAGAUGAAAAGCACUUUGGAAAGAGAGUCAAACAGUACGUGAAAUUGUUGAAAGGGAAGCGCUUGCGACCAGACUUGCCCGCGGGUGAUCAGCCGGUAUUCUUACCGGUGCACUCACCCGCGGUCAGGCCAGCAUCGGUUCGGGCGGCUGGAUAAAGUCCACUGGAAUGUAGCUCCUCUCGGGGAGUGUUAUAGCCAGCGGUGCCAUGCAGCCCGCCCGGACCGAGGACCGCGCUUCGGCUAGGAUGCUGGCGUAAUGGUUGUAAGCGACCCGUCUUGAAACACGGACCAAGGAGUCUAACAUCUAUGCGAGUGUUUGGGUGUCAAACCCAUGCGCGUAAUGAAAGUGAACGGAGGUGGGAACCCUCAAGGGUGCACCAUCGACCGAUCCUGAUGUCUUCGGAUGGAUUUGAGUAAGAGCAUAGCUGUUGGGACCCGAAAGAUGGUGAACUAUGCCUGAAUAGGGUGAAGCCAGAGGAAACUCUGGUGGAGGCUCGCAGCGGUUCUGA
rnacentral:rRNA from 1 species